rnacentral:lncRNA from 1 species
UCAGCAGCUGAGAACCUGCAGAAAGAGGAAUUUUGAUAUUAAUUUGGGUUCUUGUAGGCAGUAUUUAGGUGGAAGACUUUUUCUUUUGAUUUUCGUUUAGUAGAAUAGAUAAGGCAUAAAAAGCCCUACUUUACCUAAUAUCUGCCUCUGUUAUGGAAUGAGUUUGAUUCGUUGCACUGAAAUAAUUAUGAUUUGUAAUAAAAUAAUAAUGGGAUGAGGCCCCUGAGGGAAGAAAACGAUCACUUUGGUGGGAAAUCUUCUUCCAUACUCAUAUAAUUCUCUGUGUGUGUGUGUGUGUCUUCUGUGUGUGAAUGAUAAAUGAUGCUUAUUCCAAACAUUACUAUUCUGUUGUUACCAUUUUGUAAGAUUCUUCUUAGCCCCCUAUUACUUCAUCAAUCAAAGGUGUCAUUGCGCUGGAAAAAUAACCCCUACGGUUUGAUCUUUCUUUCAUGAUGUGGGAAUCCAUCAUGGCCUUUGAUAUACCUUACUUACCUGCUUUUAUAAUCUUGUUCAAGUGCAUCUUGUAAAACUUAUCCAUGCACCAUGCACUAAACUGCAUGUGAUCCACAUGGACUACUGUUUCGGAGAUUGGGUUUACAUGGAUGUCUUUGAAAUCUUGAACUAAAAAUUUGCUUUAUUUUGAUGUUCUCUUAUUGUUACUGCCUUAGAUACAUCUGAUUCUUACUGCCUUAGAUGUUUCUGAUUCAGUGUUGUUUAAU